rnacentral:rRNA from 1 species
UACGGAGGGUGCGAGCGUUGUCCGGAAUCAUUGGGCGUAAAAGGGCGCGUAGGUGGCCUGCUAAGCGUGCGGUGAAAGUCGGGGGCUCAACCCCCGAUCGGCCGUGCGAACUGGGAGGCUUGAGCACUGUAGAGGCAGGCGGAAUUCCGGGUGUAGCGGUGGAAUGCGUAGAGAGUCCGGAAGAACACCGGUGGCGAAGGCGCCUGCUGGGCAGUUU